rnacentral:rRNA from 1 species
UCACUCCUACGGGAGGCAGCAGUGGGGAAUAUUGGACAAUGGACCAAAAGUCUGAUCCAGCAAUUCUGUGUGCACGAUGAAGGUUUUCGGAUCGUAAAGUGCUUUCAGCAGGGAAGAAAAAAUGACGGUACCUGCAGAAGAAGCGAACGGCUAAAUACGUGCCAGCAGCCGCGGUAAUACGUAUGUCGCAAGCGUUAUCCGGAAUUAUUGGGCGUAAAGCGCGUCUAGGCGGCCAUUUAAGUCUGAUGUGAAAAUGCGGGGCUCGAACUCCGUAUUGCGUUGGAAACUGGAAUGGCUAGAGUAUCAGAGAGGUGGGGCGGAACUACAAGUGUAGAGGUGAAAUUCGUAGAUAUUUGUAGGAAUGCCGAUUGGGAAGCCAGCUCACUGGAUGAAUACUGACGCUCGAAGCGACGAAAGCGGUGGGGACGACAAACGGGAUUAGAUACCCCUGGUAG